GACGAACGCUGGCGGCGUGCCUAAUACAUGCAAGUCGAGCGAGAGGCGGACGGGUGAGUAACACGUAAGGAACAUACCGAUAAGCGGGGGACAACAUCCGGAAACGGGUGCUAAUACCGCAUACUUAGCGAUGGCCUUGCGGUGCAUUAGCUCGGUGGUGGGGUAACGGCCGACCAAGGCAAUGAUGCAUAGCCGACCUGAGAGGUUAAGCGGCCACAUUGGGACGGAGACACGGCCCAAACUCCUACGUGAGGCAGCAGUAGGGAAUCUUCCGCAAUGGGCGCAAGCCUGACGGAGCAACGCCGCGUGAGUGAAGAAGGGUUUCGGAUCGUAAAGCUCUGUUGUAAGAGAAGCGGUAUCUUACCAGAAAGCCACGGCUAACUACGUGCCAGCAGCCGCGGUAAUUC
rnacentral:rRNA from 1 species